UACAGAGGUCCCAAGCGUUGUUCGGAUUCACUGGGCGUAAAGGGAGCGUAGGUGGCCUUAUAAGUCAGUGGUGAAAUCUUCGAGCUUAACUCGGAAAUUGCCAUUGAUACUGUAGGGCUUGAGUAUAGUUGCCGUUGGCGGAAUAUGACAUGUAGUGGUGAAAUACAUAGAUAUGACAUAGAACACCAAUUGCGAAGGCAGCUUACUACACGAUCAUUGACACUGAGGCACGAAAGCGUGGGGAGCAAACAGG
rnacentral:rRNA from 1 species